CCCAAUUAUGGAUAAUUUGCCAUUAGACAAGUCUCUUUUAUACCCUUUUAAUAGAUUCUUUAUAAGUUUUUAUGGUCCUCAUGUAUAAGAUCAGAACAACAAGACGUCUCCCCGGGUAAACUAUAAUAGGGAUAAUGUUUAACUCACUCAAGUUCUGAACAAUCAUACAGUUGAUGAUGUUGCACAUAACAGAGUGAUUUAUUGAUUUUGAUGAAUGA
rnacentral:lncRNA from 1 species